AUGGCCUUUCGGGUCCAAGUCCAAGCCCGGACUCUGGAACCCAGACGACGACUUUGACGGCGAGGGUUGGGGCGAGCGUCUCUUCUUCUACAUCGAUUUGGCGUUUCGCCUUCUUCUCGUCUUCUCUGUUGAACGUCCCGUGGCUCUGAUUCUGCCCUAGUUUUGGGGGCAUGCAACCGCGGGUUCCAUCUUCAUUGCAUCAAUGGGUAAAUUCACAUACUUCUCAGGCAUUUGCCCCAUGUGUCGCAGGAAGUGGCAAUUAAAAGGUUGAGAAAAAAACAUUGGAAUCACUCCUUCAAGUGCAGGGGUUCCAAUUGUUAUACUGGUUGAUGUAAAGCGAACACCUCCAGUGUAUAUCUAUUGAGUAUUAGUUUAUGUAAACAAAAGUAGCUCCAUCUCUAGGUUUCAAUUUUUUACCGUUUAUUGUAUUCCUCCAUAAACCACAUUUUUGUUUAUUCGGUCUGAUGAGCGAUCCCCAGUGAGCAUAAAUAAAUUUUUGA